rnacentral:rRNA from 1 species
AGAGUUUGAUCCUGGCUCAGGAUGAACGCUAGCUACAGGCUUAACACAUGCAAGUCGAGGGGCAGCAUGAUCUUAGCUUGCUAAGAUUGAUGGCGACCGGCGCACGGGUGAGUAACGCGUAUCCAACCUUCCCCUUAGUAGGGCAUAGCCCGUAGAAAUGCGGAUUAAUACCCUAUGUUCUUCGUAGAGGACAUCUGAAAUGAAGCAAAGGUUUACCGCUAAGGGAUGGGGAUGCGUCUGAUUAGGUAGUCGGCGGGGUAACGGCCCACCGAGCCAGCGAUCAGUAGGGGUUCUGAGAGGAAGGUCCCCCACAUUGGAACUGAGCCAUGAUCAAACUC